CUUCAGCGACCCCAGCCACAGCGGCCGAUCCGCCUGGCGCUCUUGCCCAUACGUGGCGAGCAGGGCCUGGGCCUC
rnacentral:antisense_RNA from 1 species